rnacentral:rRNA from 1 species
CUACGGGGGGCACCAGUGAGGAAUAUUGCACAAUGGGGGGAACCCUGAUGCAGCAACGCCGCGUGGAGGAUGACGCAUUUCGGUGUGUAAACUCCUUUUAUAUGUCAAGAAAAUGACGGUAGCAUAUGAAUAAGCACCGGCUAACUCCGUGCCAGCAGCCGCGGUAAUACGGAGGGUGCAAGCGUUACUCGGAAUCACUGGGCGGAAAGGACGCGUAGGCGGGUUGGAAAGUCAGGUGUGAAAUCCUACAGCUUAACUGUAGAACUGCACUUGAAACUUCUAAUCUAGAGUAUGGGAGGGGGAGAUGGAAUUAGUGGUGUAGGGGUAAAAUCCGUAGAUACCACUAGGAAUACCUAAAGCGAAGGCGAUCUCCUGGAACAUUACUGACGCUAAGGCGUGAAAGCGUGGGGAGCAAACAGGAUUAGAUACCCCUGUAGUC